CCAGGUGAUCGUGACCUAAUCUCAUUGAAUUGAAAUCACAUAACGAGUGUUUAAAAGUUGUGGUUACUGCUACACCAGGCAUGUCCUGUAUUUUGCCGUACACUGUACAUAGGACAGCUUAAUGUUAGUUAUAACCUCAAAAAAAUUAUAAACUACACCUUCGAAUUCGAAGUGAUUAUACAUAAUUUAUUUACAUUAUGAGUGAUAGAAAUAUUGACCAAAGUCUCAGAAAGCCUAGACGCACCAAAGGAACUCCAUUCUACAGACAACGACACUAUUAUUCUUUGGGCUUUCUUGGUUUAAGUGCGAUAUGUGGAUGGCUUUAUUUGUCGUGGAGUGAAGCGAGGAAACUUGGCAAAGAUGCGGAGAACGGUAAAUUUGAUUAUCCCGAUUCAU